CAGCAGCCGCGGUAAUACGUAUGGUGCAAGCGUUAUCCGGAUUUACUGGGUGUAAAGGGGGCGUAGACGGCUGUGUAAGUCUGAAGUAAAGCCCGGGGCUCAACCCCGGGACUGCUUUGGAAACUAUGCAGCUAGAGUGUCGGAGAGGUAAGUGGAAUUCCCAGUGUAGCGGUGAAAUGCGUAGAUAUUGGGAGGAACACCAGUGGCGAAGGCGGCUUACUGGACGAUGACUGACGUUGAGGCUCGAAAGCGUGGGGAGCAAACAGGAUUAGGUACCCUGGUAGUCCACGCCGUAAACGAUGACUACUAGGUGUCGGGGAGCAAAGCUCUUCGGUGCCGCAGCAAACGCAAUAAGUAGUCCACCUGGGGAGU
rnacentral:rRNA from 1 species